rnacentral:rRNA from 1 species
GGCAGCGGGACACUUUGGUGUUGCCGGCGACCGGCGAACGGGUGCGUAAUGCGUAUGCAAUCUACUUUACACUGGGGAAUAGCUCCCGGAAACAGGAAUUAAUACCCCAUAUAAUCUUACGAGCGCAUGUUUGUAAGAUGAAAGCUCCGGCGGUGUAAAAUGAGCAUACGUCCUAUUAGCUAGUUGGCGGGGUAAAAGCCCACCAAGGCAAUGAUGGGUAGGGGUUCUUAGUGGAAGAUCCCCCACACUGGCACUGAGAUACGGGCCAGACUCCUACGGGAGGCAGCAGUAGGGAAUAUUGGUCAAUGGGCGCAAGCCUGAACCAGCCAUUCCGCGUGCAGGAUGAAGGCUCUACGAGUUGUAAACUGCUUUUGU